UGCCAGCAGCCGCGGUAAUACGGAAGGUCCUAGCGUUGUUCGGAAUUACUGGGCGUAAAGCGCAUGUAGGCGGAACAGAAAGUUAGAAGUGAAAUCCCUGGGCUCAACCUAGGAAUUGCUUUUAAAACUUCUGUUCUGGAAUUAAGGAGAGGAAAAUGGAAUAUCCAGUGUAGAGGUGAAAUUCGUAGAUAUUGGAUGGAACACCAGUGGCGAAGGCGAUUUUCUGGACUUAUAUUGACGCUGAGGAACGAAAGCAUGGGUGGCGAAGAGGAUUAGAUA
rnacentral:rRNA from 1 species